rnacentral:misc_RNA from 1 species
GAUGAAGAACGUAGCGAAAUGCGAUAAGUAAUGUGAAUUGCAGAAUUCAGUGAAUCAUCGAAUCUUUGAACGCACAUUGCGCCCAUUAGUAUUCUAGUGGGCAUGCCUGUUCGGGCGUCAUUUCAACCCUUAAGCCUAGCUUAGUAUUGGGAAUCGACUUUACUGUCGUUCCUCAAAUUCAACGGCGGAUUUAUAGCAAUCUCUGAACGUAGUAAUUUUUUUCCUCGUUUUUGAAAUACUAUAAACCUCAGCCGCUAAACCCCCAAUUUUUCUAUGGUUGACCUCGGAUCAGGUAGGAAUACCCGCUGAACUUAAGCAUAUCAAUAAGCGGGA